CCCUGCCAUUUGUACACACCGCCCGUCGCUCCUACCGAUUUCGAGUGAUCCGGUGAGCCUUUUGGACUGGUCUGUUUACAGAUCGGAAAAUCAAGCGAAUCUAUUCACUUAGAGGAAGGAUAAGUCGU
rnacentral:rRNA from 1 species